AAAGCAGUUCAGACCCAGAAAGCGCCUUAAUGUGCACAGACGGAGCAGGCUGGGAGCGAAACCAGCUGGGCUGGAGUGGAGCGUGCUUAGUGGCCCCGCUGAUGUUAGAUGCCAAACUAAUAUUCCCCACCAUUGAUCCUUCUCCUACUCCCACUGGCAGGGAGAUCAUCUCUGGAUUUCCACACUCAGCAAGCCCUGACGAUCCUACGCCAGUGCAGAGAGGCCCUCGAUAGCCACUGUCUGAGUCAUGCAAGCUGCAAAUGUUUCAACGCCACCCCUUUCAUCACCAUCCCAGAGGCUAGCGAAGAUUAGAAGUUAA
rnacentral:lncRNA from 1 species